UACGAAGGGGGCUAGCGUUGUUCGGAAUUACUGGGCGUAAAGCGCGUGUAGGCGGUUGUUCAAGUCGGGUGUGAAAGCCUUGAGCUCAACUCAAGAAAUGCACUCGGUACUGGAUGACUAGAGGACCGGAGAGGAUAGUGGAAUUCCCAGUGUAGUGGUGAAAUACGUAGAGAUUGGGAAGAACACCAGUGGCGAAGGCGGCUAUCUGGACGGUUUCUGACGCUUAAGACGCGAAAGCGUGGGGAGCAAACAGG
rnacentral:rRNA from 1 species